AUUGAACGCUGGCGGCAUGCCUUACACAUGCAAGUCGAACGGCAGCGGGGGAGAAGCUUGCUUUUCCUGCCGGCGAGUGGCGAACGGGUGAGUAAUACAUCGGAACGUGCCCUGUAGUGGGGGAUAACUAGUCGAAAGAUUAGCUAAUACCGCAUACGACCUGAGGGUGAAAGUGGGGGACCGCAAGGCCUCAUGCUAUAGGAGCGGCCGAUGUCUGAGUAGCGAGUUGGUGGGGUAAAGGCCUACCAAGGCGACGAUCAGUAGCUGGUCUGAGAGGACGAUCAGCCACACUGGGACUGAGACACGGCCCAGACUCCUACGGGAGGCAGCAGUGGGGAAUUUUGGACAAUGGGCGAAAGCCUGAUCCAGCAAUGCCGCGUGUGUGAAGAAGGCCUUCGGGUUGUAAAGCACUUUUGUCCGGAAAGAAAUGGCUCUGGUUAAUACCUGGGGUCGAUGACGGUACCGGAAGAAUAAGGACCGGCUAACUACGUGCCAGCCGCCGCCGUAAGAC
rnacentral:rRNA from 1 species